UCCAUUGUAUUAGUAUGUCAUUUCUCAUCUCCAGGGCAGUGGGUCUUUGAACAGGAUGGGAGCAAACUUUCUUAUGGAUGAGUUGCAGUCCUUGAACUGACUUCUAGAUCAUAUCCACACACUGCAUGCAAAACAUCGUGCUAGACGUCCUCCUCCAAAACGAUCACACUUCCACAGCUGGAUUCUGAAAAAGAAGAAGAAAAGCUGAUUCCACAAAUGUUGCUGAUGUGACACCUGGGAUCCUGAGAGAUUAACUUUCUCCAAUUUACUCAGAUAGUGAGGAGGACUGAUGACAGGUCAGCCAAACUCAAGUCUGCUGCUGACCUAUUCUUGGGGAAUUGGGCUUCCAGAGACUUUAAGAACUUCCAAUCUGAGGUGAAUUUGCCCUCCUGUCACCAUGUCUAUAGGGUGUAGCAACACCUGAAAGCAAUGAACAAGAUCUUUGAAGCUGACAAGAUCUCUGCUGAAACCAAGAUGAGUGAUAGAAUCUUCCAUUAUGAAUCUAUACUUCUUGUGGACUCUUAGUGACUAUAAUUAUUUUAAAAUUAUUGUA